AACGCUGGCGGCGUGCUUAACACAUGCAAGUCGAACGGAAAGGCCCUGCUUUUGUGGGGUGCUCGAGUGGCGAACGGGUGAGUAACACGUGAGUAACCUGCCCUUGACUUUGGGAUAACUUCAGGAAACUGGGGCUAAUACCGGAUAGGAGCUCCUGCUGCAUGGUGGGGGUUGGAAAGUUUCGGCGGUUGGGGAUGGACUCGCGGCUUAUCAGCUUGUUGGUGGGGUAGUGGCUUACCAAGGCUUUGACGGGUAGCCGGCCUGAGAGGGUGACCGGCCACAUUGGGACUGAGAUACGGCCCAGACUCCUACGGGAGGCAGCAGUGGGGAAUAUUGCACAAUGGGCGGAAGCCUGAUGCAGCAACGCCGCGUGCGGGAUGACGGCCUUCGGGUUGUAAACCGCUUUCGCCUGUGACGAAGCGUGAGUGACGGUAAUGGGUAAAGAAGCACCGGCUAACUACGUGCCAGCAGCCGCGGUGAUACGUAGGGUGCGAGCGUUGUCCGGAUUUAUUGGGCGUAAAGGGCUCGUAGGUGGUUGAUCGCGUCGGAAGUGUAAUCUUGGGGCUUAACCCUGAGCGUGCUUUCGAUACGGGUUGACUUGAGGAAGGUAGGGGAGAAUGGAAUUCCUGGUGGAGCGGUGGAAUGCGCAGAUAUCAGGAGGAACACCAGUGGCGAAGGCGGUUCUCUGGGCCUUUCCUGACGCUGAGGAGCGAAAGCGUGGGGAGCGAACAGGCUUAGAUACCCUGGUAGUCCACGCUGUAAACGGUGGGUACUAGGUGUGGGGUCCAUUCCACGGGUUCCGUGCCGUAGCUAACGCUUUAAGUACCCCGCCUGGGGAGUACGGCCGCAAGGCUAAAACUCAAAGGAAUUGACGGGGCCCCGCACAAGCGGCGGAGCAUGCGGAUUAAUUCGAUGCAACGCGUAGAACCUUACCUGGGUUUGACAUGGAUCGGGAGUGCUCAGAGAUGGGUGUGCCUCUUUUGGGGUCGGUUCACAGGUGGUGCAUGGCUGUCGUCAGCUCGUGUCGUGAGAUGUUGGGUUAAGUCCCGCAACGAGCGCAACCCUUGUUCACUGUUGCCAGCACGUUAUGGUGGGGACUCAGUGGAGACCGCCGGGGUCAACUCGGAGGAAGGUGGGGAUGACGUCAAGUCAUCAUGCCCCUUAUGUCCAGGGCUUCACGCAUGCUACAAUGGCUGGUACAGAGAGUGGCGAGCCUGUGAGGGUGAGCGAAUCUCGGAAAGCCGGUCUCAGUUCGGAUUGGGGUCUGCAACUCGACCUCAUGAAGUCGGAGUCGCUAGUAAUCGCAGAUCAGCAACGCUGCGGUGAAUACGUUCCCGGGGCUUGUACACACCGCCCGUCAAGUCAUGAAAGUUGGUAACACCCGAAGCCGGUGGCCUAACCGUUGUGGGGGAGCCGUCGAAGGUGGGACUGAUGAUUAGG
rnacentral:rRNA from 1 species